rnacentral:rRNA from 1 species
UACGAAGGGGGCUAGCGUUGCUCGGAAUCACUGGGCGUAAAGGGUGCGUAGGCGGGUCUUUUAAGUCAGGGGUGAAAUCCUGGAGCUCAACUCCAGAACUGCCUUUGAUACUGGGGAUCUCGAGUCCGGGAGAGGUGAGUGGAACUGCGAGUGUAGAGGUGAAAUUCGUAGAUAUUCGCAAGAACACCGAAGGCGAAGGCAGCGUUCUGGGAAGCAACUGACGCUCAUGUGCGAAAGCCAGGG